GUUGAAAUGUAAGCAGACAAUGUGAGCGCAUUAUAAUUUACGGCUUUAAGAUCGUUAAGGUCCGUGUUGUAUUUUUAGCUUUUUGGUUGUUUUACAUGUAAAUUAUAGUGUGACUUAUUAUUGGUAGAAUCUUAAGAGAUAUUCUCAGUAAAUAUUAUUGGGUUCAAACGGAAGUUAUAACCAGGAAACCAUAAAGAGGUGGAAAAUAGCGUGCCAGCAGCCGCGGUUAUACGCGUGCCUUAAGUUAAAACUGUUUUACAAGGUUAGUUCUUUGGUAAUUUUUUUUGACUUUAUAUUUAUUAUUAAGUAGAAUUUUAAUAAAUAGGAACAAUAAAGUUACUCAGGUUUAUAAAGUAAAGUAUCUGGACCAGGAUUAGAUACCCUGUUACUUUUUACUAGGUUUCCUUGGAGUAUUAAUGUUAAUGAAAUUUAACGGAUUUGGCGGCAAGAUAGCCCGUUUAGAGGAACCUGCCCUGUGAACGAUGAGCCACGAACAACUUUACUUUUUUUGGUAAUCAGUUUGUAUACCGCUGUUGUCAGUCAGUCUCGCUAGGGAACUUUCGAUAAUGGAAAGGUCAUUGACUUCAAGUAAAGGUGCAGCUUAUAAAAAAGAGAGAGGUGGGUUACAAUUUAAAUGAUAAAUGACGGAUAACAAGAUGAAAAAUUGUUUGAAGGUGGAUUUAAUUGUAAAACUUUGGAAAGUUUGAUACGAGCACUAACUUGUGUACAUACCGCCCGUCGCUCUCCUUAGUAAAUGAGAUAAGUCGUAACAAGGUAAGUGUAAUGGAAAUUGUACUUGUU
rnacentral:ncRNA from 1 species